GACAUUCAUCAUCAACGGUUAUUUGGGGUCGACUCGUACCCUGUUUACUUCGUAUCAGUGUUUUUUAUCAUCUAUAUAAUAAAAGAAACUGAAUGUGCAUGAGACUUGAUUUUAAUAUAUGUAGAAUGCCAGAAGAAAUUACAGACAACAAUACUGCUCAGUGCAGUAACCAGACCUAAAAAAAACCACUGCUCAAGGCAAACUUUUGGGACAGAGUGCUGCAUACAUGGGCUUAUGCACAAACUGAGAUUUUGCAAGUCAACUGUCAAAGUCAUAAAGAGAGAUCUAUAGUGGACAAUGUUGAACAGAGUUGAAGUCCUGGAAUCUCGGUCAACUGCAGAUAGCAGCAUGGCGUAAAGCAGACGUCUUGUUUCCCAGUCCAAUUUUAGUCAGGUAUGAAACUGCAGUCAACACAGGUUUUUAGAGGUCUGCAAGUACAGAGUUUUAAAUUGUGAAAUAAAACCUCUAACCAGUUAGCAGUGUGUGUGUGUGUUAUGCUGUGCUGAGAUAUUGCUGUGACAUAUGGUGCAUUAAGGUCCAUAACCUGGUAUCCAUCAAAGAUUGGCUAUGGUGUUUACAGAACUGAAAGCCAAGCUGUGAUUUUUGAAAAUUUAUUAUAAAGUUCUAAAUGGAAAUACAAUUUGAAAAGCA